rnacentral:lncRNA from 1 species
CCUGACCCAUUCCCCACAAUAUACACUCAGAUACGUACGCAGCCCUAAUCUCCCAGAGGUAGAGACGCGUACUGUUCUUCUUCUCCUAAAAACACCUGAAUCCACUCCCAAAAUUCGGACGAGUGAGCCCCAAUCUCACCUCGCGCGUUCCCCCUCUCUCCUCGUCACCAUAUUUCUAACUGUUCCUGACAGAUUCCCUUCACUCUCAUGAUCUUUUCCUUUUUAUUUGGAUUUUUACCUUUGAAUGAUAGAUUGGAACCAAUCUACUCCCUCCAUUUGUUCCUCUCUCAUCAGGACGGGUGUGAAAAUCUAUUUUGGAGGGGGGGGAAGGGGGGNN